CCCUUAGAUGUUCUGGGCCGCACGCGCGCUACACUGAUGCAUUCAACGAGUCCAACCUUGACCGAGAGGUCCGGGUAAUCUUUGAAACUGCAUCGUGAUGGGGCUAGAUUAUUGCAAUUAUUAAUCUUCAACGAGGAAUGCCUAGUAAGCGUGAUUCAUCAAAUCGCGUUGAUUACGUCCCUGCCCUUUGUACACACCGCCCGUCGCUCCUACCGAUUGAGUGUGUUGGUGAGGAGUUUGGAUUGGCCUCGGAAGGUGGUUCGCCACCGUCCGUAGCUGAGAAGUUCUCCAAACCGCCCCACUUAGAGGAAGGAGAANUCGUAACA
rnacentral:rRNA from 1 species